rnacentral:tRNA from 2 species
GCCCAGGUAGUGUAGUGGCCUAUCAUGAUGGCCUGUCACGCCAUCGACACGGAUUCGAAUUCCGUCCUGGGCG